AAUCCGCCCAUCUUCGCCACCAUCCCAAAUCCACGACCACCUCACCAGGAAAACACCACCACAUCUCAAAAUUACCAGAUCCGUCGAGAUCCACCACACAAACAUCAGAUUCGUCCAUCUCCACCACCAUCCUAGAGCCAUGACUACCUCAUUAGGAAAAUACCACCACAUCACAUCAAUAUAAAGCUCAUCCUCAAGCUCCUUCACUUGAUUUCUGGCAAAGUCUUGCAAUUUUCCUCAACUCUCAGUGGCACAGAACUUGACACCAUGGCGUCGUGAUGAAAACAAUAGCCAAACUCAGAUCGUGCUGUGGCCAACGCCUCUC
rnacentral:lncRNA from 1 species